GACGAACGCUGGCGGCGUGCCUAAUACAUGCAAGUAGAACGCUGAAGAGAGGAGCUUGCUCUUCUUGGAUGAGUUGCGAACGGGUGAGUAACGCGUAGGUAACCUGCCUGGUAGCGGGGGAUAACUAUUGGAAACGAUAGCUAAUACCGCAUAAAAUUGAUUAUUGCAUGAUAAUUAAUUGAAAGAUGCAACUGCAUCACUACCAGAUGGACCUGCGUUGUAUUAGCUAGUUGGUGAGGUAACGGCUCACCAAGGCGACGAUACAUAGCCGACCUGAGAGGGUGAUCGGCCACACUGGGACUGAGACACGGCCCAGACUCCUACGGGAGGCAGCAGUAGGGAAUCUUCGGCAAUGGGGGGAACCCUGACCGAGCAACGCCGCGUGAGUGAAGAAGGUUUUCGGAUCGUAAAGCUCUGUUGUAAGAGAAGAACGGGUGUGAGAGUGGAAAGUUCACACUGUGACG
rnacentral:rRNA from 1 species